rnacentral:rRNA from 1 species
UACGUAGGUGGCGAGCGUUGUCCGGAUUUACUGGGCGUAAAGGGCGUGCAGGCGGUUUGUUAAGUGCAGAGUGAAAGCUCCCGGCUCAACUGGGAGAGGUCUUUGCAUACUGGCAAACUCGAGGGAGGCAGAGGAAAGUGGAAUUCCCGGUGUAGUGGUGAUAUGCGUAGAGCUCGUGAGGAAGACCGGUGGCGAAGGCGGAUCUCUGGACGGCCCCUGACGCUGAGGCGCGAAGGCUAGGGGAGCAAACGGG